rnacentral:sRNA from 1 species
UGCAUCUGCAGCUCAUGAGGAUGAGAACCUCCGGGGGCAGGGAGGUUCGACUCGAGCGAAGCGAGAGAACGUUGCGCCAGCAACGGCCCGCAGGGCGAGCCACGAA